GACGAACGCUGGCGGCGUGCCUAAUACAUGCAAGUUGAGCGCUGAAGGUUGGUACUUGUACCAACUGGAUGAGCAGCGAACGGGUGAGUAACGCGUGGGGAAUCUGCCUUUGAGCGGGGGACAACAUUUGGAAACGAAUGCUAAUACCGCAUAAAAACUUUAAACACAAGUUUUAAGUUUGAAAGAUGCAAUUGCAUCACUCAAAGAUGAUCCCGCGUUGUAUUAGCUAGUUGGUGAGGUAAAGGCUCACCAAGGCGAUGAUACAUAGCCGACCUGAGAGGGUGAUCGGCCAAAUUGGGACUGAGACACGGCCCAAACUCCUACGGGAGGCAGCAGUAGGGAAUCUUCGGCAAUGGACGAAAGUCUGACCGAGCAACGCCGCGUGAGUGAAGAAGGUUUUCGGAUCGUAAAACUCUGUUGGUAGAGAAGAACGUUGGUGAGAGUGGAAAGCUCAUCAAGUGACGGUAACUACACAGAAAGGGACGGCUAACUACGUG
rnacentral:rRNA from 1 species